rnacentral:tRNA from 1 species
CUGCCUUAACUAUUCCUUGCAUCUUUCUAUAAGACAAACCAUUUCCUCAUGCAACAUCCCAGUACAAACUCAAAACACCCCCACAUCCACACAACCCAACUAUAAUCCUCGCACUCGACACCUACACAAACUAUUCUAU